UACUUAAAUUACUUUACUAGUAAAUCCACCUUCAGCUAGCAACAAAGCUUAGAAUCCGUAUUUCUAAAAAAAAUUUCUGUAGCUCACCUCCACCCCCAUAUAAACUGCACCUUGACCUGAAGUUAUAAAGUCUUUUAACUUGAAAACAUUCUCUAAAAGUAAUCUGACAACGGCGGUAUACAAGCUUUACAAAUGAAGGAAAGAUAAAACGAGGACUAUCGAUUAAGGGACAAGCUCCUCUAUUUGGAUAAAGUGCCGCCAAAAUCUUUGGGUUUGAAGAACAACUUNUAC
rnacentral:rRNA from 1 species